GUGAAGGUGGAAGUCGUAACUAGUUCUCCGUUGGUGAACCAGCGGAGGGAUCAUUA
rnacentral:rRNA from 1 species